rnacentral:rRNA from 1 species
UACGUAGGGGGCAAGCGUUGUCCGGAAUCACUGGACGUAAAGCGCGCGCAGGCGGUCAUCUACGUCUGGGGUGAAAGCCCGGAGCUCAACUCCGGGAUUGCCUUGGAUACGGGAUGACUUGAGGAUCGGAGAGGCAAGGGGAAUUCCACGUGUAGCGGUGAAAUGCGUAGAGAUGUGGAGGAACACCUGUGGCGAAGGCGCCUUGCUGGCCGAUUUCUGACGCUGAGGCGCGAAAGCGUGGGGAGCAAACAGG